rnacentral:rRNA from 1 species
AAGCCUGAUGCAGCAACGCCGCGUGAGGGACGACGGCCUUCGGGUUGUAAACCUCUUUUAGUAGGGAAGAAGCGAAAGUGACGGUACCUGCAGAAAAAGCACCGGCUAACUACGUGCCAGCAGCCGCGGUAAUACGUAGGGUGCAAGCGUUGUCCGGAAUUAUUGGGCGUAAAGAGCUCGUAGGCGGUUUGUCGCGUCUGCUGUGAAAACCCGAGGCUCAACCUCGGGCCUGCAGUGGGUACGGGCAGACUAGAGUGCGGUAGGGGAGAUUGGAAUUCCUGGUGUAGCGGUGGAAUGCGCAGAUAUCAGGAGGAACACCAAUGGCGAAGGCAGAUCUCUGGGCCGUAACUGACGCUGAGGAGCGAAAGCAUGGGGAGCGAACAGGAUUAGAUACCCUGGUAGUCCAUGCCGUAAACGUUGGGAACUAGAUGUGGGGACCAUUCCACGGUCUCCGUGUCGCAGCUAACGCAUUAAGUUCCCCGCCUGGGGAGUACGGCCGCAAGGCUAAAACUCAAAGGAAUUGACGGGGGCCCGCACAAGCGGCGGAGCAUGCGGAUUAAUUCGAUGCAACGCGAAGAACCUUACCAAGGCUUGACAUAUAGAGGAAACGGCUGGAAACAGUCGCCCCGCAAGGUCUCUAUACAGGUGGUGCAUGGUUGUCGUCAGCUCGUGUCGUGAGAUGUUGGGUUAAGUCCCGCAACGAGCGCAACCCUCGUCCUAUGUUGCCAGCACGUAAUGGUGGGAACUCAUGGGAUACUGCCGGGGUCAACUCGGAGGAAGGUGGGGAUGACGUCAAAUCAUCAUGCCCCUUAUGUCUUGGGCUUCACGCAUGCUACAAUGGCCGGUACAAAGGGCUGCAAUACCGCAAGGUGGAGCGAAUCCCAAAAAGCCGGUCUCAGUUCGGAUUGAGGUCUGCAACUCGACCUCAUGAAGUCGGAGUCGCUAGUAAUCGCAGAUCAGCAACGCUGCGGUGAAUACGUUCCCGGGCCUUGUACACACCGCCCGUCAAGUCAUGAAAGUCGGUAACACCCGAAGCCAGUGGCCAAACCCGCAAGGGAUGGAGCUGUCGAAGGUGGGAUCGGUGAUUAGGACUAAGUCGUAACAAGGUAGCCGUACCGGAAGGUGCGGCUGGAUCACCUCCUUUCUAAGGA